UACGUAGGGCGCAAGCGUUGUCCGGAAUUAUUGGGCGUAAAGAGCUCGUAGGUGGUUUGUCGCGUCUGUUGUGAAAGCCCGGGGCUUAACUCCGGGUUUGCAGUGGAUACGGGCAGGCUAGAGGCAGGUAGGGGAGAACGGAAUUCCCGGUGUAGCGGUGAAAUGCGCAGAUAUCGAGAGGAACACCUGCGGCGAAGGCGGGUUGCUGGGCUGACACUGACGCUGAUGCGCGAAAGCCAGGGGAGCGAACGGG
rnacentral:rRNA from 1 species